AAACGAAGAGAAACAUAAAACUAAAAAAAACUAGGCAGCAAACAACAGUACUCGAGAAGACCACAAAAGAUAAAAUUAACCAAAGGAGCUAGAACGUUCUGAGGGAAGAUGACACGAGAAAAUCGUCGAUGUUGCCACGAGUAAACUGCUAUCCUAUCGUAGCCUUUAACAUAUCAUUAGGAUUGAGUUACAGAAGGUAAAAGAUGACAAAAAAGAGUUUGAAAUCAAUGUUUGGACUGUUUAAAAAUCGAUAAACAAAAAAUAAAAGUUCACCCAAACUGAAAUUAAUUGAAUUGAUUUCUCGAUCUUAAAAUUGAAUUACACUCUUAACUUUUUUGUUUUGGUAAAAUAUAAAAAUUUAUACUAGAUUUAAGAUUUUAUACAAAAAACGGAAAUAAAAUAAAGAGAAACACAAAAGCAAAACCAUGCAGCAAACAAUAGUACUGUAGAAGGCCGUAAAGGAUGAAAUUAACGAAAUGAGCUAGAAAGCUCUGACGGAAGAAAACACUAGAAAACCGUUGAUGUUGCCACGAGUUAACCGCGAUCCGAACUUACCCUUUCAAAUAUCAUUAGAAUCGAGUUAGAGAAGGUAAAAGAUGACAAAAAGAGAGUUUGAAAUCAAUUAUUGGACUGUUUAAAUAGAGAAACAAAAUAAAACAUUUCACCCAAACUAAUAUUAAUUGAAUGAGUCUCUCGAUCUUAAAAUUGAAUUACACUGUUAACUUUUUUUUGUUUUGGUAAAAUGUAAAAAUUUAUAAUAGAUUUUUGACUUUUUACAAACGCGGAACUAAAAAAGAGAAACAUAAAUCUAAAAACUAUGCAGCCCUGCAAAAGGCCACAAAAUAUGAAAUGAACGAAAAUAGCUAGAACGUUAUGACAGAAGAAGAGAAGCAAAAACCGUUGAUGUUUUCACGAGUGAACCGCGAUCCGAAGUUAGCCUUUAAAAUAUCAUUAAGAUCGAGUUAGAGAAGGUAAUAGAUGACAAAAAGAGAGUUUGAAAUCUUUUAUUGGACUGUUUAAAAUAAAGAAACAGAGCAAAACAUUUCACGAAACUGAUAUUACCUGAAUGAAUAUCUCGAUCUUAAAAUUGAAUUACAAUCUUAACUUUUUUUUAUUUUGGUAAAAUGUAGAAAAAUUAUAUCAUAGAUGUUUUACAAAACCGGAAAUAAAACAUACAAAAACAUUAUAAAAAAAAACCAGGAAGCAAACAACAGUACUGCAAAAGGCCAGAAAAGAUAAAAUUAACGAAAAUUGCUCGAAAUUCCUGAUGGAAGAUGACACGAGAAAACCUUUGAUGUUGCCACGAGUGAACCGCGAUCAUAACCCAACCCUUAACAUAUCAUUAAGAUCGAGCUAGAGAAGAUAAAAGAUGACAAAAAAAAAAAGAGUUUGAAAUCAAUUUUUGGAAUGUUUAAAAUAGAUAAACAAAACAAAAAAAGUUCAGCUAAACUGAUAUUAAUCGAAUGGAUCUCUCGAUCUUAAAAUUGAAUUACACUCUUAACUUUUUUUUUGUUUUUGGUAAAAUAUAAAAAUUUAUACAAGAUUUUUGAUUUUUUACAAACACGAAAACAAAACGAAGAGAAAUAUAAAACUAAAAAAAAACUAAGCAGCAAAAACCAAUAUUCGAGAAGACCAUGAAAGAUAAAAUUAACCAAAGGAGCAAGAACGUUCUGGCGGAAGAAGACACGAGAAAACCGUCGAUGUUGCCACGAGUAAAUUGCUAUCCUAUCGUAGCUUUUAACAUAUCAUUAGGAUUGAGUUAGAGAAGGUAAAAGAUGACAAAAAGAGAGUUUGAAAUCAAUGUUUGGACUGUUUAAAAUCGAUAAACAAAAAAGAAAAGUUCACCCAAACUAACAUUAAUUGAAUUGAUCUCUCGAUCUUAAAAUUGAAUAACACUUUUAACUUUUUUGUUUUGGUAAAAUAUAAAUAUUUAUACUAGAUUUAAUAUUUUAUACAAAAACAGAAAUAAAAUAAAGAGAAACAUAAAACGAAAACCUAUGCAGCAAACAACAGUACUGUAGAAGGCUGUAAAAGAUGAAAUUAACGAAAGGAGCUAGAAAGCUUUGCCGGAAGAAAACACUAGAAAACCGUUGAUGUUGCCACGAGUGAACCGCGAUCCGAACCUACCCUUUCAAAUAUCAUUAGGAUCCAGUUAGAGAAGGUAAAAGAUGACAAAAGAGAGUUUGAAAUCAAUUUUUGGACUGUUUAAAUAGAGAAACAAAAUAAAACAUUUCACCCAAACUGAUAUUAAUUGAAUGAAUCUCUCGAUCUUAAAAUUGAUUACACUGUUAACUUUUUUAUUGUUUUGGUAAAAUGUAAAAAUUUAUAAUCGAUUUUUGACUUUUUACAAACACGGAAAAAAAAAAGAGAAACAUAAAUCUAAAAACUAUGCAGCCGUGCAGAAGGCCACAAAAUAUGAAAUUAACGAAAAUAGCUAGAACGUUAUGACAAAAGAAGAGAAAAGAAAACCGUUGAUGUUUUCACGAGUGAACCGCGAUCCAAACCUAGCCUUUAAAAUAUCAUUAAGAUCGAGUUAGAGAAGGUAAACGAUGACAAAAAGAGAGUUUGAAAUCUUUUUUUCGACUGUUUAAAAUAGAGAAACAAAACAAAAUAUUUCACCCAAACUGAAAUUAAUUGAAUGGAUAUCUCGAUCUUAAAAUUGAAUUACAAUCAUAUUCUUUUUUUUUUGGUAAAAUAUAAAAAAAUAUAUGAUAGAUUUUUUACAAAAACGGAAAUAAAACAAAGAAAAACAUAAAACUAAAAAAAAACUAGGCAGCAAACAACAGUACUGCAGAAGGCCACAAAAGAUGAAAUUAACGAAAGGAGCUAGAACGUUCUUACGGAAGAAGACACGAGAAAACCGUCGAUGUUGCCACGAGUAAACUGCUAUCCUGUCGUAGCCUUUAACAUAUCAUUAGGGUUGAGUUAGAGAAGGUAACAGAUGACAAAAAUAAAGUUUGACAUCAAUGUUUGGACUGUUAAAAAUAGAUAAACAAAAAGAAAAGUUCACCCAAACUAACAUUAAUUGAAUGGAUCUCUCAAUCUUAAAAUUGAAUUACACUCUUAACUUUUUUGUUUUAGUAAAAUGUAAAAAUUUAUACUAGAUUUAUGAUUUUAUAAAAAAACGGAAAUAAAACAAAGAGAAACGUAAGACCAAAAACUAUGCAGCAAACAACAGUACUGUAGAAGGCCAUAAAAGAUGAAAUUAACGAAAGGAGCUAGAAAGCUUUGACAGAAGAAAACACGAGAAAACCGUUGAUGUUACCACGAGUGAACCGCGAUCUGAAUCUAACCUUUAAAAUAUCAUUAGGAACGAGUUAGAUAAAGUAAAAGAUGACAAGAAGAGAGUUUGAAAUCAAUUUUUGGACUGUUUAAAUAGAGAAACAAGAUAAAACAUUUCACCCAAACUGAUAUUAAUUGAAUGAAUCUCUCGAUCUUAUAAUUGAAUUACACUCUUAACUUUUUUUUGUUUUGGUAAAAUAUAAAAAUUUAUAAUAGAUUUUUGACUUUUUACAAACACGAAAAUAAAAAAUAGAAAGAUAAAUCUAAAAACUAUGCAGCACUGCAGAAGACCACAAAAUAUGAAAUUAACGAAAAUAGCUAGAACGUUAUGACAGAAGAAGAGAAGAGAAAACCGUUUAUGUUGCCACGAGUGAACCGCGAUCCGAACCUAGCCUUUAAAAUAUCAUUAAGAUCGAGUUAGAGAAGGUAAAAGAUGACAAAAACAGAGUUUGAAAUCUUUUUUUGGACUGUUUAAAAUAGAGAAACAAAACAAAACAUUUCACCCAAACUGAUAUUACUUGAAUGGAUAUCUCGAUCUUAAAAUUGAAUUACAAUCUUAACUUUUCUUUUAUUUUGGUAAAUUUAAAAAAUUAUAUCAUAGAUUUUUUACAAAACCGGAAAUAAAACAAAGAAAAAUAUAAAAAAAAAAAAAAAACUAAACGGCAAACAACAGUACUGCAGAAGGCCACAAAAAAUGAAAUUAGCGAAAGGAGCUAGAACGUUAUGAUAGAAGAAGACGCGAGAAAACCGUCGAUAUUACCACGAGUGAACCCAGCCUUUAGCAUAUACAAUUGGUUCGAAAGAUGAAGAAAUGGUUGGGAACCCAGGCUUCUAUCAAUAUUGCUAAAGUCUUGUCUAUCCAGGAGUUAAUGAAUUCCACGCUGAGGCAUUAUUACGAUGAACACGGUGUAGUUGGUCCUUUUAUAGAUAAUGAAGUUGGAAUUUUAAAUGUUUAUGCUCUUGCCCAUCAUUUUAGAGAGAGUGGAACAGUAUACGAAGAAGAUUGUCCUAUCACUGAGGAGCAGGUUUUCCUGGAUGAGAGCACAACGACUGAGGUAAAAUGUUCUCUCUCCUUCAUUUUCUUCUCUCUUUGUUAAAUUAACCUUUAAUUAAUGUUGUUUUCCCUUGAUACAGGGAUGUGAGAGAAUUAUCCCAAGCAUUUGUGACGUUCAUUCUAUCUAUGAUUACGUAGCGGACUAUGGUGGUGAGGAUGGUGUAUCAAUGUUUCAUCAAGAGUUGGAGUAUCAGCUCAGGGAGGGAGGACCACUCAGUAUUCAAUUCGAAGUGUAUCCUUCUUAUUACACCACUCAGGUCAGGAAUUGUAUUUUAAUUCUGCUUCUUAGUUUACUUUCAUAUAUUUUCUAAAGCAUUUGAUUUCCCAUCUUUGUUUUUGUGGAUUAAUACUUGAUCUCAGAAUCCCACUAAUUUUUAACUUUUUGUUUUUUUUUUAGGGAAACCUCUAUAAUCCUUCUAAUUCUGAACUUGAGUUCAUUCCUCUUGGUGGACACUAUGUCAUCGCCACUGCAUUAGGCACACUUGAUGGAUUCCUCGCCUUGGAGUGUCAAGAUACACUACUAGAAAACAAAUAUUUUGUUAGAAUUUUCCAACAACUUAAAAGUUAUUGCUUCUAUCCAACAAUAUAUAAUAUUUGUUGGAAAAUUCCAAUAAUAUUCAUACAAAUUAUACAACGUAAUUACUACAACUAAAAUUUGUAAUGAAUUUCCAACGAUAUAAUAUUUCUUGGAGAUUUUCAACGACUUUCCUACAAAGUAUGCAAUGUAAUUGUCACAAUUAUAAUUUGUUGCAAAUUUGCACUGAAUUUCCAACAAUAUAGUAUUUGUUGGAAAAUUUCCACAAUUUUUCUAUAAAUUAUGUGAUGUACUUGCCACAACUUAAAUUUGUUGGAAAUUUACAAUAGAUUUAUAACAAAUAUAAUACUAAACGUAAUUUUAUGGGAUAUUCAUUGGAAAUUUCCAACAAAAUUCGAUUGUUAGAAACAUUUGUUGGAAUAUGCCAUGUUUUCUAGUAGUGAUAUCAUUAGGAUCGAGUUAGAGAAAGUAAAAGAUGACAAAAAGAGAGUUUGACAUCAAUGUUUGGACUGUUUAAAAUAGAUAAACAAAAAAGAAAAGUUCACCCAAAUUGACAUUAAUUGAAUGGAUCUCUCGAUCUUAAAAUUUAAUUACACUCUUAACUUUUUUGCUUUGGUAAAAUGUAAAAAAUCUUCAUAGAUUUUUGAUUUUGUACAAAAACGGAAAUAAAAUAAAGAGAAACAUAAAACCAAAAACUAUUCAACAAACAACAGUACCGUAGAAGGCCAUAAAAGAUGAAAUUAAGGAAAGGAGCUAAAAAGUUUGAUUGAAGAAGACACGAGAAAACCGUUGAUGUUACCACGAGUGAACCGCGAUCCAAACCUAGCCUUUAAAAUGUCAUUUGGAUCGAGUUAGAGAUGGUAAAAGAUGUCAAAAAGAGAGUUUGAAAUCUUUUUUUGGACUGUUUAAAAUAGAGAAACAAAACAAAACAUUUCACCCAAACUGAUAUUAAUUGAAUAGAUAUCUCGAUCUUAAAAUUGAAUUACACUCUUAGCUUUUUUUUUGUUAUGGUAAAAUGUAAAAAUUUAUACUAGAUUUUAGAUUUUUUACGAAAACAAAAUAAAACAAAGAGAAACAUAAAACUAAAAACUAAGCACCAAACAACAGUACUGUGGAAGACCAUAAAAGAUGAAAUUAACGAAAAGAGAUAAAACGUUAUGAUAGAAGAAGACACGAGAAAACCGUCAAUGUUGCCACUAGUGAACCGAGAUCCAAACCCAGCCUUUAACAUAUCAUUAGGAUCGAGUUAGAGAAGGGAAAAGAUGACAAAAAGAGAGUUUAACAUCAAUGUUUGGACUGUUAAAAAUAGAUAAACAAAAAAAGAAAAGUUCACCCAAACUGACAUUAGUUGAAUGGAUCUCUCGAUCUUAAAAUUAAAUUACACUCUUAACGUUUUUGUUUUGGUAAAAUGUAAAAAUUUAUACAAGAUUUUAGAUUUUAUAUAAAAAUGGAAAUAAAACAAAGAGAAACAUAAAACCAAAAAUUAUGCAUAAAUGUAAAAAUUUAUAGAAGAUUUUAGAUUUUAAACAAAAACGGAAAUAAAACAAAGAGAAACAUAAAACCAAAAAUUAUGCAUCAAACAACAGUACUUGUGGAAGACCAUAAAAGAAAGAAUUAACGAAAGGAGCUAGAAAGCUUUAAUGGAAGAAGACACAAGAAAACUGUUGAUGUUACUACGAGUGAACCGCGAUCCGAACCUAGCCUUUAAAAUAUCAUUAGGAUCUAGUUAGAGAAAGUAAAAGAUGACAAAAAGAGAGUUUGAAAUCAUUUUUUGGACUGUUUAAAAUAGAGGAACAAAACAAAACAUUUCACCCAAACUGAUAAUUGAAUGGAUAUAUUGAUCUUAAAAUUGAAUUACAAUCUUAAAUUUUUUUUUUUAUUUUGGUAAAAUAUAAAAAUUAUAUCAUAAAUUUUUUACAAAAAAGGAAAAAAACAAAUAAAACAUAAAACUAAAAAAAAAAAACUAGACAGCAAACAACAGUACUGUAGAAGGCCACAAAAAAUGAAAUUAACGAAAGGAGCUAGAACGUUAUGAUAGAAGAAGACACGAAAAAAACCGUCGAUGUUGCCACAAGUGAACCACGAUCCAAACCAAGCCUUUAACAUAUCAUUAGGAUCGAGUUAGAGAAGGGAAAAUAUGACAAAAGGAGAUUUUGACAUCAAUGUUUGGACUGUUUAAAAUAGAUAAACAAAAAAGAAAAGUUCACCCAAACUGACAUUAAUUGAAUGGAUCUCUCGAUCUUAAAAUUGAAUUACACUCUUAACUUUUUUGUUUUGGUAAAAUGUAAAAAUUUAUACUAGAUUUUAGAUUUUAUACAAAAACGGAAAUAAAACAAAGAGAAACAUAAAACCAAAAACUAUGCAGCAAACAACAGUACUGUGCAAGACCAUAAAAGAUGAACGAAAGGAGCUAGAAAGCUCUGAUGGAAGAAGACACGAGAAAGCUGUUGAUGUUACCACGAGUGAACCGCGAUCCGAACCUAGCCUUUAAAAUAUCAUUAAGAUCUAGUAAGAGAAGGUAAAAGAUGACAAAAAGAGAGUUUGAAAUCUUUUUUUGGACUGUUUAAAAUAGAGAAACAAAACAAAACAUUUCACCCAAACUGAUAAUUGAAUGGAUAUCUCGAUCUUAAAAUUGAAUUACAAUCUUAACGUUUUUUUUAUUUUGGUAAAAUGUAAAAAAUUAUAUCAUAGAUUUUUUACAAAAACGAAAUAAAACAAAGAAAAACAUAAAACUAAAAAAAAACUAGGCAACAAACAACAGUACUUCAGAAGGCCACAAAAGAUGAAAUUAAUGAAAGGAGUUAGAACGUUACGAUUGAAGACGACACGAGAAAACCGUCGAUAUUGCCACGAGUGAACCGCGAUCCAAACCCAGCCUUUAACAUAUCAUUAGGAUCGAGUUAGAGAAGGUAAAAGAUGAUAAAAAGAGAGUUUGACAUCAAUGUUUGUACUGUUUAAAAUAGAUAAACAAGAAAGAAAAGUUCACCCAAACUGACAUUUAUUGAAAUGAUCUCUCGAUCUUAAAAUUGAAUUACACUUUUAACUUUUUUGUUUUGGUAAAAUCUAAAAAUUUAUACUAGCUUUAAGAUUUUAUACAAAAAUGGAAAAAUGAAAAAAUAAAAAGAUAAAACCAAAAGCAAAUAAUAGUACUGUGGAAGACCAUAAAAGAUGAAAUUAAUGAAAGGAGCUAGAAAGCUCUAACAGAAGAAGACACGAGAAAACCGGUUAUGUUACCACAAGUGAACCGCGAUCUGAACCUAGCCUUUAAAUAUCAUUAGGAUCGAGUUAGAGAAGGUAAAAGAUGACAAAAAGAGAGUUUAAAAUAUUUUUUUGGACUUUUAAAAUAGAGAAACAAAACAAAAUAUUUCACCUAAACUGAUAUUGAAUGAAUGGAUAUCUCGAUCUUAAAAUUGAAUUACACUCUUAGAAUUUUUUUGGUUAUGGUAAAAUGUAAAAAUUUAUACUAGAUUUUAGAUUUUUUGCAAAAACGAAAUUAAACAAAGAUAAACAUAAAACUAAAAACUAAGCAGCAAACAACAAUAUUGGAGAAGGCCGCAAAAGAUGAAAUUAACCAAAGGAGCUAGAACGUUCUGACGGAAGAAGACACAAGAAAACCGUCGAUGUUGCCACAAGUGAACUGCGAUCCGAACCUAGCCUUUAACAUAUCAUUAGGAUCGAGUUAGAAAAGGUAAAAGAUUACAAAAAGAGAGUUUGAAAUCAAUGUUUGGACUGUUUAAAAUAGAUAAACAAAACAAAAGAGUUCACCCAAACUGACAUUAAUUGAAUAAAUCUCUCGAUCUCAAAAUGAAUUAGACUCUUAACUUUUAUUUUGUUUUGGUAAAAUGUAAAAAUUUAUACUAGAUUUUAGAUUCUUUACAAACACGGAAAGAAAACAAAGAAAAACAUAAAACUAAAAGCUAUGCAGCAAACGACUGUACUGGAGAAAACCACAAAAGAUUAAAUUAACCAAAGGAGCUAGAACGUUCUGAUGGAAGAAGACACGAGGAAACCGUCGAUGUUGCCACGAGUGAACUGCGAUCUGAAACCGUCGAUGUUGCCAUGAGUGAACCGUGAUUCGAGUCCAACCUUUAAAAUGUCAUUAUGAUCGAGUUAGAGAAGGUAAUAGAUGACAAAAAAGAGAGUUUGAAAUCAAUAUUUAGAUUGUUUAAAAUAGAUAAACAAAACAAAAAAAAAAGUUCACCCAAACUAAUAUUUAUUGAAUGGUAGCUCGAUCUUAAAAUUGAAUUACACUCUUAACUUUUUUUUGUUUUAGUAAAAUGUAAAAAUUUAUACUAGAUUUUAGAUUUCUUACAAACACGGAAAUAAAACAAAGAGAAACGUAAAACUAAAAGCUAUGCAGCAAACAACAGUAUUGGAGAAGGCCUUAAAAGAUGAAAUUAACCAAAGAAGGUAUAACGUUUGUAACGAAAGAAGACACGAGAAAACCGUCGAUGUUGCCACGAGUGAACCGUGAUUCGAGCCCAACCUUUAAAAUGUCAUUAUGAUCAUUUAGAGAAGGUAAUAGAUGAUUAAAAAAAAAAAGAGAGUUUGAAAUCAAUAUUUAGAUUGUUUAAAAUAGAUAAACAAAACAAAAAAAAAAAAGAAAUUCACCCAAACUAAUAUUUAUUGAAUGGAUAGCUCGAUCUUAAAAUUGAAUUACACUCUUCUUCUUUUUUGGUAAAAUGCAAAAAGUUAUACUAGAUUUAAGAUUUUUUACAAAAACGGAAAUAAAACAAAGAGAAAUAUAAAACUAAAAGCUAUAUAGCAAACAACAGUACUAGAGAAUGCCACAAAAGAUGAAAUUAACAAAAGGAGCUAGAACGUUCUAACGGAAAAAGAUACGAGAAAAUCAUUGAUGUUGCAACGAGUGAACCGCGAACCAAACCCAGCCUUUAACGUAUCAUUAGGAUGAGCUCUAUGUUCUCUGUGCCCAUUGUUGGGUAGGCUAACGGAAUCGAGGCAGGGUGGGGUAACCUCGGAGGAGGUGCAAAGCAGCUGAUCAUACCCAUCGUGUUCUCGUUGAUUCGGAAGAUGGGAGCCACCAAGUUCACGGCGUGGAGGGUUGCUUUCUUCAUCCCCAGCCUCUUUUAGACUCUCUUUGCUUUCGCCGUUUUCUUGUUCGGUCAGGUAACAAACCAAUCACACUCACCGUUUCAGUUAUUUUGGUUUAUCCAGUUUUGAAAAUGUAUGGCCGGGGUUUUCUAGUUUUGGUUAAAUUUUAGUACAUACAUUAUUAGUACAUGUUUUUCAUUUUAUUCGGUUAUCUACAAAUGAUUAAACCGAUUCGAUUAGGUGAAAAGCUGGUUUACUGAUACCGGUUUCGUUUUGAUUCAUGUAGUAGAAUCUUUAGUCGGUUACUCUUUUUUUUUAAUAACGUCUGGAUUUAUAAUUUAUUGCAAAUUAUGAGAACUGUUACAUAGACGAUUCUACAACGGACAAUUCCUUCCGACCCUUAUUAGAUCCACGACAAACGACACUUCCUUCUUCAUGCUCUUGACGAACACCUUCCAAUGAUCCACGACCUGACGACACUUCUCUCUCUGCGUAGAAUCCUGGCGAACGGCGUCUAUAAUUGUUCAUCGCUGGAGAUCUCAUACACACUUGCCUCCAUUAAUCUGCAAAUUUAUUAAUAAAUCGCAGUAUCUGGGACUCAAACCCCAACCAUCUUGGUGUAGAAGCAUUAAUUAACCCUUUAUCAACCAAUCGACGAAGGAAUUGUAAAUGGAUACAUUUAUGUUGUCACCAAUUUUUUUCUUUUUAAUUUAAAAGGAUCUUCGUGAUGGGGAUUAUUGGGCGAUGCAUAAAUCUGGAGAAAAGGAGAGUCAAAAACUAUAGUGGAUGGAUAACAGCAUUAGCAUAUGGCUAUUGUUUUGAGACAAUUUCGUUGAACUUUGGACUUUGGACUUUGAAGGUUUCAUUGAAUUAUCGUGGUUCUCGUAUGAAUCUGAGGUGCGCGAAAACAAUAAGAAAUUAGCUCAAGGAGUACUAAAAAAGGUGCUAACGGCAGUGGGACUCCUGCGGGUAAUUAGCUUUUUAUGAUUAUAUUGGUAAUAAUCCAGCAAAAGGGGGGUUAUUCCGAGCAGGUUCAACGAGAAAUACGAGACAUCUAAGUCAUACAAGUAAAGAGAUCUAUUCAUUGAUAAGAAAAAGAAAAAACGUAAGCCUUAAGAGCGGGAUGGAGCGGUCGAAGACGGUCGGUUGCCCGAGUGAACGUCGAAGGUAAGAAGUAGGCCAUUAUCUCGGCAAUAAUGAGCCAAACUAGUAUUUGCGGUGAAUCCCCCUGUUAAGUAGUCAUGCAUUACGAUAGGAACUCCCACGGACUUUCGAUAACCGGCUUGUGGAGGUGCUCAUUAUGUCGUUCGUUAUGCUUCUUGUGAUUGAGGUGUCCGGUGGUGGACGUUCCCUUGGAGAGCGCAGUACAACGGAGAGUUGUAUGCUGCGUUCGGGAAGGAUGAAUCGCUCCCGAAAAGGAAUCUAUUGAUUCUCUCCCAAUUGGUUGGACCACCUGUUUGUUUUCCGAGCGAGAAAGAGAUAAAUUGGAGAACAAUUUCGUUUAACGUACACCAAAAACAUCAUUUCGAAAGUAUUUUCAACGAGAUUGAACCAACUUGAAUUGAUGGGAUAAGAUAUGUAGACCCCGCUCAACUACACAUAUCAUUUAGUCUCUCGACAGAUAAUUCCUUCCAUAAACUAAAACCUAACUGAAGAAUUAAUAUAUAAAUAUUUACCUUUUGGUGAUAUCCCUAAUCAUAUAACUACAAAAAUUUAGAGAGUACACACAUAGCAAAGUCAAUAAUCCAACGGUAAAAGAUAGCAGUAUUGAUGGAGCGGCAAACGACCAAACAACAAAUCGUGCUGAAAAUAAUAAUGUCUCACCAGAAUUUUUCAGCAUUAAUUGAAACACACAACAAACCUCUCCUUAUUUAAUGAAACCACAUUUCAAACACUCAUGUUUUCUUAUAAAGAGAGGCCUAUUAUUUUACAGCUCAUGGAAUCACACUAUCACAAUCAUAACCACAAAAUAAACACUAUGGGACAACUCAAAAGUCUCUUCACAAUUCUUUUCCUAAUAGCUAUGUUGCCAGCCGUAACAUUUGCCGGUAAAAUACCGGCGAUCAUCGUGUUUGGCGACUCUACUGUUGAUGCUGGGAACAACAAUUAUAUCCCAACUGUUGCGAGAAGCAACUUUGAGCCCUAUGGACGGGACUUUGUUGGUGGAAAGCCGACCGGACGGUUUUGUAACGGAAAGAUUGCGACGGAUUUUAUGUCCGAAGCCUUAGGGCUUAAACCAAUUAUUCCGGCAUACUUGGAUCCUUCUUAUAACAUUUCAGAUUUUGCAACAGGUGUCACCUUUGCUUCGGCUGCCACUGGCUAUGACAACGCCACUUCUGAUGUUCUGGUACGGACUUUUCUUACACUUGUAUUUAUUACAUAUAUACUAUUUGAUAUGAUACAUAACUACACGUCUUUAUAAAACAUUUAUGAUUGAUGAGAUAUAAAAUAUAGUAUAAUAUUUAUGAAAAAAAUUAUCAUAGUUGUUUUGGUUAUAGAAUGUAACAAAUCUUUGUAUUUUAUUCGUAAGAAGUCUUUGUUUACACUUAUGUAUUUAUUUAACGAAAUUUUAAUUUAAUACAUACGAAAAAACUAUAUUUUCAUGAAAUUUCGUUUGUAAACUUUGAUAAAUAUUUUUUUUUUUAAAUCGCGAUAAUAUUUCAAGGCAAAGGUUGUUUUGGGAUAUUAUCCUACUGUAGUAAUUACAGACCACUGAUUGUGAUUGCAGUCGGUACUACCUCUUUGGAAACAACUCGAAUACUACAAAGAAUACCAAACAAAACUUAAAGCAUACCAAGGUAAAGAAAGAGCCACAGAGACUAUAGACAACUCUCUCUACCUCAUAAGCAUAGGCACCAACGAUUUCCUCGAGAAUUACUUUGCCUUUCCAGGCCGUUCUUCGCAAUAUUCCGUCAGUCUUUACCAAGAUUUUCUAGCCGGAAUCGCGAAAGACUUUGUGAAGAAGUUGCAUGGACUUGGUGCAAGGAAGAUCUCACUAGGUGGAUUGCCUCCAAUGGGAUGCAUGCCUUUAGAGAGAGCCACCAACAUUGGCACAGGAGGCGAGUGUGUUGGACGGUACAACGACAUAGCGGUCCAGUUCAACAGCAAGCUUGAGAAGAUGGUUGAGAAGCUGAGCAAAGAGCUUCCUGGUUCCAACCUCGUUUUCUCAAAUCCUUAUGAACCAUUUAUGCGGAUCAUCAAGAACCCUUCCUCUUUUGGUAAGCUAGCUAAUUAACAAUCCCAUCAUAAAUAACUUUAUUAUUUCUCUAAACAUAACUACAUGUAUUAAUGUUUGAAUGGUGAAAAAAUGAAGGGUUCGAGGUGGUGGGAGCGGCAUGUUGCGCGACAGGGAUGUUCGAGAUGGGAUAUGGUUGCCAAAGGAAUAACCCAUUCACAUGUACCAACGCAGACAAGUAUGUGUUUUGGGACUCAUUUCACCCAACACAGAAGACUAAUCACAUCAUGGCCAAUGCUCUCAUGAACAGCACAUUCCCUCACUUCCUCUAAAUGGUUUUUAUGUUUGUGUGUGGAAACUAGAUAUAAGAGUAAUAUUAUUAUUAGGGAUUGCUUCUCAUAUUUUUGAUAUGCACUCUGUAUGUAUUUAUAUUUAAGUAGAUUUUGCUUUUGUGUUAGUUAGCGAAACCUAUGUUUCUUUUCUAGAUUAUGGUGUGCCUAUGUAAUUUUAUUCUCUUUAGCUAUUCUCAAUAUAUCUAUGUUUCAUUCCAUUAUGACAAUUUUGGGGCGGUGUGUUAUUAUUUCAAAAUAAUAGCAUUUAUGACUUUGCACUAAAAUUUUUGUAUACUAAAAAUGCCAGCACAAUUAUGUUUACAAUAUACAAGUGUGAAGUGUGUAUAAAUUUAUUUAUUUACAAUACAAAAAUAUGCACACAUAAAUAAAUGAUAUUUCUAAUAAAUUUGUAACGGAUUUAAAUCCUUAUUUAAUAAAUCACAAGUCACUUCUCUAAUAACUGCACCAUUAUCCUUCAACCACGUGUCUUAAGUCUUAAAUUAUGUACUUUCACUUUUUUCUUUUUUUACACUAAUUUACGAUUAAAAUCAAAAUUGACUUUUCUCCAUCACCCCCCCACCACCACCCACGAUCUCUUGCUUCUCCUACAAAAAAAAAAAAAAACUUCCACAUCUUUUUUUUUUUUAAUUUUGUUUUCCUGCAACUUUUCUCGAAAUAAAAUUUUUUUUGAAAUUUCAAAGAUUUUGUUUCCUUCUAAUUUACACAAUAACUAGGUUUCUCAUCCCGACUAUGAAAUUAGUUCUCUUUUACCUUGCAAUAUAUCUUCAAUAGAGAAACUAAUGCUAUUUUCGCCCGUGCAGAGCACGGGUCAAACACUAGUAUACAAAUAAAUCACUAAUCAUAUAUAUAGAAGUUGGUUAACUCUCUCUUAAUAGUUUGUGAUUAAAAUUUUUGCCGUUUUUUAAACAUCACUUUAGGGAGGUUAAUAACAACGUUGAUGUCCCCUCUUCCACUUCCAAUAUGUAUUUUUUGGCAAGAUAUAUUGUUGUGACGAUCUAAAAUCUCUGCAAACUAGGGUUCGUCCAACUUUUCUAUAGGUAAUCGUCUUCCAAAGCCAUAACCACAUCCUCUUCCACUUCUAUUUCUUUGUCUGGGUCAUAUCUCGUAAUUUGAUGUCUAGUUUUUGGUUACUUUACAGGUCUCCUUCCACGGUUAUCGUUGUAUCACUUGGAGAUCUCACAGACACUAUUGAUCUCGGUUAUACUACAAAAUAGAAGCUUGGCGAGUAAAUCGUUGGAGUAUAUCAAUUGCCAUGACAAGUACAAAGAUAUUUUUAUUAGCUAUUAUGAGUAUAUUAAAAAAAGUUCAAAGUUUUUAUGGUGCUUUAUCUAGAAGAUUUGAUAUUUUAGAAAUUUCAUUUUAAGAAGUUAAAGAAUUGAUACUUUUCAAAGAAAGUUACAUAGUAAUUUUGACCAGUUUUUCUAUUAUAGUAUAGUUUGAAAAAUAUUAAAUGAUGUUGGUGUUUGACGCGUGUAAGUUUUCAUUAAAAAUAAAUUCUAAUGUAUAUAGAAUCAAAUCUAGAGGUAUUCAAUGGUAAUAUAACAUUCUUAUACUUUUCUCAAACCGCAUCUAUAAAUAAGGAGGAACAGAGGAAGCAACCAUACAUCUUUUGGUUUUUAAGAGAGAGCGCUCUGAAGUUUUAGUUUCAAUAAGCAAAGUAAAUUUAGUUAAAGAUUAAUAAUAUUCCAAUCAUUUUUUUCUUUUUGCACUAAUUGAGAAUAAAUUUUUAUGUGUACACGGUGAAAUCGGCAGGAUUGGUUUUGCUGGAACUUAUAGUAAAUACUAGAAAGUCCGCUUUUUUGGAAUAUUAGAAGCCCAUGAUUUCAAAAAAAUUAUUUUGGUAAAAAAGCAUUAACUUCUUUUCCUACAUAAACCAUGGGUCUAAAUACCAUAAAAGUGAGCCUAUAGAUAUUUGCAAUUUGUUCCACCAAAACUGACCUCGUGAUUCCAUCGUGUACACACAAAAUUUUCUUUGAUUAGUAUAUCAGGCGGUAUAUGAUUGAAAAGAUUAUUAAUUUGUAGCCAUGCUUGUAUCCCAUAGUAAUUUUUUAUUCAAAAAUCAAUAUAGUUUUUGCAUUCAUAUUUCAUUAUUUAAAAAAACAAUUUAGAUCGAUUGAAUUAACUUGAUCAAUUAAUCUUUAUGUUGUUUUAAAAAUCAUUUGAAUGUAUUUUUGUAAUUUUUGAGUAAACAAUGCAUCCGAGUUUACAUUCAAAUUUGUUGUUUGUAACAAGUUACAUCAAUUCAACUAACCUAAUGAAGUAAUCCUUUUACUAUUUUUGUUUUGUUUUAGUCAUUUGAUGUUUUUUUUUCUAUAAAACUUUAUCACAGCUUAUUUAUUUGUUUUUAAUUAAAAUUUUCAACGCUUAUUUAUGAUUAAUUACUUCACUUUUGGUCAUGGGUACCAAUUCUUCUGGGUAGCAAAUGUAAAUUUUCAAUCCAACUUCUGUUAAGUUUAAGUUCAAGUUCUUCACUUUUACAUUUUAGAGUUUUUUGUCAAUCUCCCUUUUUUUUAUUAACUAUAAAAACUAUCAAUUAAAAUUGGUUUUUAGCUUGAAAAUCCUUCUGAAGAGAUUUGGUUAUAUUUUUUUUCAGAGUGUACCGAGACCAAAUGGCUGCGGCGCAUCAAGGCACUUCUUCGACGGUCUCCGUUAUUAAAACAAAAAAAAAUCAAUUUGGUUUACGGUCAAAAAUAUAUUAAUCUUAGUAUGGUUGAAUUUCAUUAUCCAUUCUUAUCAACAAACAGUUGGAACUGAAUUGUCAAAAAAUAUUUGUAAUAAAUUUACAUGAAACCAUGAAACAUUUUAACAACAAAAAAAAAAGGCAAUAAAGGCCUAUGAAACUAUGAACAAAGUAAUAUACUUAUCAGAUCAAACCCCAAAAGUCAAUCGGUCCCAAAAUUUUGAAGCACAUUUAUGUUAGUAGUUGAAUAAAUGUGAACCUGAGAAAGGAGACAUACGAUCCCAAUCUUAUAAUUAAUAUAAUAAAUUAUCUGGAAAUUAUUUGUUAACAACUGACAACGUAGAAGAAAAUGGUGCCAUACUGUCAUAAAAUGGUGCCAUGUUUCGUAUGUAGCCAUAGGCCCAUACGGAUCUCUGACAUUAUCGAUGUUACUAAUUCAACAUCUGAUCAAUCAAUUAUUAUAAGCACUAAAUAAUGACAUUUUUAAAAAGAAGGAUUUCAAUCAAAAGUUUGUGCAGUGAUAGAUUUACGUUCUACAUCUAUUUGUUCUUAGCUCUAUCACCGCUAUGUUCCGUAUUUUUGCCAAAAAACAAAUUCGGGAAUCCAUAGUCGCCAAAAACUAUAUUGAGAGGUGUAUAUGGUUAUGAUAUGAGAAAAAAUACCAAAACAAAAUAAAACCAUUUCACAUGCAGAAAGCUAUGAAGAUGCAGCAUCUAAAGGAGUUCCUGAACUAAAUCAAGAUACUUCAAGAAGUAACUCAAAAGAACAGAGCAACUUGAACAAGAUUAAGGAAAUAUGCAGAAUCUUGUUAUGGCGGUUUGAAGUGAAGGCUAGAAGCUUGAAGAAGAUUCUAGAAGACUGAAGAGUUUCCUUUUGCAAGAAGAAAAGGAAAACAUGAAGACAAAUGACAAUUUCCUAUUCCAUAAAGAAAAAAUAAAUUGUCCAUUCCAAUUAGUUUUAGAAUUGGAAAUCGACCUGUUGUAUGGUCUCAACCUAUUUAGUAUAAAUAGGAGUGCUAAGGCUUGCAGAAAGCUGAGCACAAUCACGAGAGAGAAUUCCUAGCUAUUAAGUCUUAGUUUGAGAGAAAUAGAGAACUAGAGGCUUAAAGAGAGCUAAGGGUUUUAGGGAGAGUUAUUGUUCUUAAUCGGUCUGUGAUUAAGGAAGAAGACUUAGUGAGAAUAGAAAAUAGUGUUAAAGGAGAAACCUUGUAAACAUAUUUUCUAUUAAUCGAAAGAGUUUUUGAGGAAUCCUGAGUUACAUCGUGAACUAAUUCAAAACUUAGUGGCUCUUGCAUUAACAAUUGGUAUCAGAGCAGUCGCUUGUGAAGAUUACAUACAGGUGAGAUCUUGUGGAAAAGAUGGAGAGCUAUCAAGAACUGGUUAAAAACACGAAGGUUGUUCUAGACGAUGGUAACUAUGGUUUUUGGAAGUCAAGAAUCAAAUUUGUGAUAAGAGGGAUAGAUGUGUUAGCUUGGAAAGCUGUCUUGGAAGAAUGGAAAGAACCACAAAUUAAGAAUGAAGAUGGAAGUUUCACAGCCAAACCCGAGUCAGACUGGACUGAAGAUGAGAAGAAAAAGUCUAAAUUCAAUGCUAGAGCUCUCACAGCUAUUCACUGCAGUGUUGGAAGGAAACAAUUUGACUUAAUUCAGGGGAGUGAAACGGCUAAGGAAGCUUGGGACAUCUUACAGAUUCACUAUGAAGGAACAGCUAAAGUUCAGACAUCAAGGAAAGAUAUGCUGGCCUCUAGGUUUGAAAAUCUGAAGAUGGAAGAGAAUGAAUCAAUUUCGGAUUUCAGCUCCAAACUAAGCUCACUAGCUCAAGAAGCAUCAACUCUUGGAAAGAAGUACAAAGACAAGGAAUUGGUUAAGAAAUUCCUGAGGUGUCUACCAUCAAAGUUUUUGGCCUACAAGACUGCUUUAACAGUAUCAAAUAGCACGGAUACGCUCAGUUUUGGAGAAGUGGUGGGAAUGCUUCAAGCACAUGAGUUAGAAUUAGGAGGAACUAAGAAACCUAAAGGUCUAGCAUUAACCUCUUGCGAAAACAAAUCUCAAUCAGAAGAAGAAGAUCCAUUGAGCUUGUUGGUUCGAAGAUUUGAUCGUGUUUUAAGAAGGGCAGAACAAGGACAAGGACAAAAGAAGUUUGGAUCAUUCAAAAAGAAUUCUGACGACACCAAACCAUCAAAGAAAGCUGACAUGCAAUGUCAUGAAUGUAAGGGGUAUGGACACUUUAUUCGUGAAUGUCCAAGUCCAGAAACGAGAAACUAAAUGCACAACAUGCAAAGGAAUGGGACAUGCUCAAGAUGACUGUAUCAGUAGUCGAAAAGAGAAAUCAAUGGUUGGUAUUGAAGAAGAAUCUGAGGAAGAGAGUGAAGAAGAAGAAAUCUUAAAUUAUGUAGCGUUGAUAGGCAUCACUGAGUUUGUUGAAGGUGAAGAAGAAACUGACUCUGAAUCAGAUGGAGAACAACAAGUGGAUUUUAUUAAAAGUUACAAAGAAGUGAGAGAAACUUUAAUUAAACUUGGAACAGAAAAUCAAGACUUGCUGAAAGAAAAGAUACGUCUCGAAUCACUUGUUAAACUAUUACAGAAUCAACUAGAAGAUGAAAAGAAGAUUAGCAAAGAAAGCUUGAGUUUGAUGAAAGAAAAACUAAGCUUGUCUGCUAAAACUGAUAAUUUGGAGAAAGAACUGAUCGCUGAAAGGAAGAUAUAUAUCCGCAGGACUACAAACAGAACUUAAUCAACAACAUCGGAAGAUUCACAUGUUUGCAGGAACAAAACAACUAGAUCAGAUUCUAAGCUAUGGAAGGACAGAAAAAACAAACAGAGGACCAAUCGGAGGAAGGAGACAUGUUAGAGAAACUCGGUCUGAUGGUGGUGCAGAAAACCCUCAACUGAUUGACGAACCCAUCGAAGAACCAGCGAGAUCUAUUACAAUGCCUCUUUCUCUUAUUCCUUCUGUCGAUGAAGAUGACUCAUUUGCAACGGCUAUUGAAGAACAUAAGAGCAGCGAGUCAGAGGAAAUUCGGAAACCUGAACGUGAAUCAAAGAAGUCUGAUGGAGAAACUGAAGUUCUUUCUGAACAAAUCGAAGAAGACAAACUUAAGGAGGAAGUUGUGCCCACAGAAACGGUACCCACAAACGAUGAAUCAACAGAAGCUGGGCCAACGGAAGGAAUUGAGAAUUUGGAAAAUCAAAUUGAAGAAUCAAGUUUGAUUUCAUCUCAGAAUGAUGAAAUUCGUGAUCAAUCUGAGCAAAAUCAAAAGCAAGAUUCAACUUUCUCAGAACAAGCUGAACAGACUGUUAUCGGGUCACAUGCAGAACAGAUUGAAGAAGCAGUAGAUGACAGAAAUGUUGGAGUUACAGAGGAAAGGGUUGGAGAUGAACCAAUCCACGUCUCGGAUGUUGAAAUUGAGCCUACUAAGAUGACUGUUGAGGAACAAUUUCAGAAAAAUCAGAAGGAGAAGGAAGUUCGUAAGAAAGGAGUCUUUAAACAGCUAGGUCUAGCUCCUCCAAAGAAGAAACAGAAGAAGACUGAACCAAGUUCAAAGAAGAACAAAUCUAUCAAGGCUUCUGGCUCAGGCAAAAGUCCUUCCAAGAAAAGCAUUCGAUCAAAGCUAUUUUCAUCACCUCAAGCUAAAGCAAGGUAUGAUUUGUUUAAAAGUAGAAACUUGAUUGAGGAACGCCUGAUUGAUUUAGAAAAAGAUGAUUCUUGGGGCUACUUAACCUUGAUCAAGAAUGCGAGAUUGGAAUCUACAGUAACAAAUCUUGGAAGUUAUGUACGGGAAGUAGUGUCUGAAUUUUAUGCAAAUCUUCCUUGUGAAAAGUCUGAAGAAAAUGCUGAGAAGGUCAGUGUGUUUGUCAGAGGGCAUGACUAUGAGUUUUCACCAAAGAAAAUCAAUAAGUUUCUUGGUUUUAAAGAUUUAACCAAAGAGGAACUAAAGGCAGAUAGUGAUGUUGAUUCUGUUGGAAAAGAACAACUUGCAGAACUGCUAAGUGAAGAUGAGAAGACUGGCUGGGAUGAUUUAGUUUUCAAGAACCUUUCUCCUCGAAUUGGAGCUCUUCUACGAAUCACUGCUCAGAAUUGGAUUCCUUCAUCAAAUCCGGAUUAUGUAUCAGUAGAAUGAGCUCAGCUAAUUUACAAUAUCUUCAAUGGAAUCAGGUUCGAUGUUGGAAAAAAAUCUUUGAUCUAGUAAUGUCCAUUGUGCAAAAUAAAGAUGAGAGGUGGUUGGUGUUUCCUCGAAUCAUCUAUGGCAUGCUUAUAAGUCAAAGAGAAGUGCCAAUUCAUUCUGGAGAGAAGUUUGUGAAUCCAAAGUUUUACAAGAAAGAUGUCAAAACUGGUCAAGCUUACACUGAACGAAUGAAGGGUAAAGCAAAAGUUAAUUCUCAGCCAAACACUUCAGGAUCUGCUCCUCAAAAAGCCUCAGAAUUCUCUUCUCAAUUUAAUCCAGAGUUUCAAGGGUCUGAUGUUGUGGACAUUGGAAGCAUUCAUAUACCACAUUCUGGUAUGGAUGAUUCAGAGGGGAUGUUUGUAGCUCUUAUGGACACAGCUCAUGCGAUUUCUAAGCUGAAUGAAGUAAUUCACCGCCUUAUUCUCAGUCAUCCUAUGUCCAACAGACUAUAAAAAGUUGGUUUUUAACCUUAGGCUCUCAAGCAGGGGGAGAAGAGGUGUACGGAUAUAAUUCUGGGGGAGUUCUGGUGUUAUGGGGGAGUAGUUAUUUGAUGUUUUUGUUUGAACUCCAGAUUUUGUUGUUGCUUGUUUUUCAGACUUUGUCAGAUUCCGGGGGAGUUAGUUGUUUUGUUGGACGAAAUUACUAAAGUUUUUAAUAACUUCGGUUGUUUAAAGUCUGUGAUUGCUUGUGAUACAAAGUGUCUAUAAAAGUUAGAAGAUUUCAAAUGCAGGUCCUUGAGAGACACAAGAUUAAAAAGGGGGAGAUUGAAGAUGCAGCAUCUAAAGGAGUUCCUGAACUAAAUCAAGAUACCUCAAGAAGUAACUCAAAAGAACAGAGCAACUUGAAAAAGAUUAAGGAAAUAUGCAGAAUCUUGUUAUGGCGGUUUGAAGUGAAGGCUAGAAGCUUGGAGAAGAUUCUAGAAGACUGAAGAGUUUCCUUUUGCAAGAAGACAAAGGACAAUUUCCUGAUCCAUAAAAAAAAAGGAAAUUGUCCAUUCCAAUUAGUUUUAGAAUUGGAAAUCGACCUGUUGUAUGGUCUCAACCUAUUUAGUAUAAAUAGGAGUGCUAAGGCUUGCAGAAAGCUGAGCACAAUCACGAGAGAGAAUUUCUAGCUAUUAAGUCUUAGUUUGAGAGAAAUAGAGAACUAGAGGCUUAAAGAGAGCUAAGGGUUUUAGGGAGAGUUAUUGUUCUUAAUCGGUCUGUGAUUAAGGAACAAGACUUAGUGAGAAUAGAAAAUAGUGUUAAAGGAUAAACCUUGUAAACAUAUUUUCUAUUAAUCGAAAGAGUUUUUGAGAAAUCCUGAGUUACAUCGUGAACUAAUUCAAAACUUAGUGGCUCUUGCAUUAACAAGCUAAACACCAAAAAAAAACAUAAAAUGUGAAAGUGGUGGUAAUCAAAUAGUUGAAGGAUUUACUAAGAAUGCCUUUUUUGUGUGUUUGUGCCCUUUUAUUGUGGUGGUGGUGAAGUAAUUGAAGAAGUCACUAACCAGAGGUGGUGGAUUAGUGGUUCUAGUCUGAUGGAAUAGUGGCACUGUUGGUCUAGGACAGGGAUUGAUUCUCCCCAGACGCAGAAUUGCUCAGCUUUAUCCUUUUAGCUACAUGGGUAUGGGCCCAUUGUUUACGGUCCAUUUGAAAACCUGAGGGGAACCCUACCUGUGGGAUAUCCUCUCCCCAGGGAUUAGUCCUAGACCCCUGCAUAGGUGUAGGGAUUUACCCGAGUUAAAAAAAAAAAAAAAAAAAAAAAAAAAGAAAAAAAAAAAAAAAAGAAAGUAGUUGAUGGAUUCACUAAAGCGUUUGUGUCUUUUUAUUAUGAUUUUAAUCAUCUUUGACCACCCUUAUACGUUUUUAGAAGCAAAAAAACCUCGGUUUCUAUGGAUUUCGGGAGAUUAGUAUAGGUUUUGGUUUUGGAAUUUAACCGGUUAACCGAAAAAAAAAUAUAAAUGCAAAGGCAAACUACAGUAUAUUAUAAAUGUAUGCGAAUAUUAGUAAUAUUCUACGUCAUGCAUGGGAUAAUAUUCAAAAAAUUUGGGGUUAAAUGUCAUUCUAGUUUAGAUGACUUUUUUAACGCCAUAUGUUAUCUCUUAGUCUUAAUGUAAUUUUUGGUUUUAUGGGCCGGAGCUAGUGAUAUUAGGGCUUGAUUUUAUGGUGGCCAAAAUACCUUAAUUGGUAAGACCACCUACUACUCGAACUCUUAUCACUCAGUAGCGUUUUCGGGUUGUUUUGGUAUGUAAGAAGCCCACAUGGCAUGGUGGUCAGACGAUCUACACAACCAACAGUCAACGAAAUUCGUUGAACCGCUUGCAUGGUCCUUGAUCAGGAUCCAAUCUAGGUAAGUCUUUCUAAAAGGUCCUAGGUUUUUUCUUGAGAGGAUCAUAUUCUUAUACUAAGAAAAUUUCUUAAAACUUACUCAAGUGUGAUAUUUUUGAAUUUUUAAUUAACCUUGUCUCUUUCAAAUGUGUAAAGAAAUAAAAUCAAGCCAUCUCCACCAUGUUCUCUUGAAAGAUAAAAAUUAUAAAGUUGAAGGAACUAUGCAAAAUAUGAAGGAGGUAUGAACUCUAGAAACUAUAGUCUUGCCCACGGAAUAACUCAUCGGCCAAUUUUUAAAAAUAGUUAAGAAGCAUGUGAAACGCAUAUACAAGCUUGGGACAAUUACAAUCUAUAUAUACAAAGAAUCAAAAUUUUUAACUUUUAAUACUAUAUUAUCUCAAGUUCUCUCUCUUUAAAAGCCAUUUUCAUUGACCUUGAGACAUAAUCACACUAUUCUUUUUUCAUUUAUAAAAUAUACUUAUCAUAAAUUACUGGAAAUAGGUGAAAGAAAACAAAAUUUGAUACUUGCGUAUGGAAUAAAGACACAUUGGUAAAAAAACACAUUGAUCUUAUACAUUUUUAAGUAGGGAGAUGAAAUUAUAUAUAUCAAAAAUUAGUGUAUUUGCAUGCCAAAUUAAGAAAAUAAAUAAAAAAAUCAUUUAAUAGCAAAGAAAAGUAAAUGAGAGUGAAAGUGAAGUCAACAAUGAAGAGCCCCUCGGGCGCAAUGCGUGCCGUCUUGUUUUGAUAAUUGCCGGCAAUUUCCCUCUCUACCAUUCCUUCUCUUCUUGUCUCCUCCAAAAAUAUUCAUUACCCCAAAAUAUCUACUAUCUAGAUAUUUUUUUUUUUGUAUGUAUUGUAAUAUAACUACAAUAUUGCAAUUUGAGGAUUUAGAUUUGGAUAAACUAUUCGUGGAAUGCAUUUUUUUCAAGCUCUUAUUCUAUACUCCUACUUGUACUUGUAUUAGAUAAUAUAUCAAGAAAAAGUAUCUUAGCUUUGUUUUUGGAAUUUAUCUUUACCUAGUUUUCAGUUUACAUGUAGUAACUCCAUUAGCUAACUAAACCUAACUAUAUAUAUAUAUAUUCAUAAAUAGUAUUCUUUCCGUUUCAUAAUAAUUGAUGUUUAAGAGAAAAAUGUAUUUGUUUCACUUUAUUUGAUUUUUUUACUUUUCAACAAUGAAACAAAAAGUAUGAUUUAUGAAUCAAAGAAAUUGAUGGCUGAAAUUUUGUUUAAUUUACACCAUUUCGAUUUAACUUUUUAGCUCUUUUUGGGUUUUCUUUUAAAGAUUUUUUUUUAACGUCUAGAUUUAUUAUAUAUUGCGAAUCAUGAGAAUUGUUACAUAAAAGAUUCUACUACAGACAAUUCCUUCCAACUCUUAUUAGAUCUCACCUCCGUCAAACCCGCGUCAAAGCCCCUCGUUAAAGACCUACGUCAAAGUAGGUUGCGUCGCCACCUCCGUCAAACCUCCGUCAAAGGAGGCUGCGGGAGGCUACGGGGCUGCAGGAGACGACAUACAACACUUCCUUUUUCAUGUUGUUGAUGGAUAAAUGAUCCACGACAUGACGACACUUUCUUCUCUGCAUAGAAUCACGACGAACGGCUCUAAUUGUUCAUCAUUAGAGAUCUCUUGUACACUUGCCUUAAUAUCUGGAACUCGAACCCCAUACCCCUCAGUAUAUAAGCAUUAAUUAACUCUUGGUUAAUCAAUGGACCAAAGAGGCUUCCACUUUUUAAAGACUUCAAAUGUCAUUUUUAAUUGAAAUAUCUACUAGAUACAUAUAUAUAUAUAUAUCGUAUAUCAGGCUAAAUAGAUUAAAGACACAUUUGAGUUCAAGACACACAUAUCAUUUAAAGAAAGUAUUAAAUUCUUAGAAAUUUCUAGUAGAUGGCAUACUUGCCAUUAUACCUACAUACUUGUUAUUUCACGUUUCAACACCUGAAUAUUUGUCAGUAUACAGUAUAUAUAUAUAUACAUAUUUAUUAUUGAUAUAUGUAACGUGAAUGCUCGAAACAAGGAAAGCUACGUAACUGCUACGACACUAUAGUUUUUAAUCAAUAAGGAUAACAUAUGUUAUAAUUUGCCAAUUGAUUUGACGUUAAACCAACCAAUUACGUAACAAACAACGACAAUAUAUUAAAUACAAAUAUAUAAUUUGUUCAUAAAUAUAGUAAUACAUAAUCAACUAGUCUUCUUAAUUCUUAUUCACAUUACAACAAGAAAUGUAAAUGUUGUAGAAAGAAGGUGAAAACACACAGAAAGUAGAAAAGCAGUUCGUUUUAUCUUAUUACGAUCGAAUUUGUUUACGAUAUAAUCUGAAUAACAAUAAUAAAAACUUUAUGGAAAUAGGACAUUUUUCCAAAAAAAGAAUUACAUAAUAUGAUAAAAAAAAGAGAGAAAAUUAAACCAAAAAUGCCUGGCCUUCCCAUGUACGCCGACGACUGAUCAUGGUAACUUUUAUUUUCCCGGCGAAACACCGAAGUAGCCUCUAAUGCAUCUCUUCGCAGUCAUUAUCGGUGAGAGUGUAUAUAUAAAGUGGAUUAUGUAUGUAAAAAUAUGCCAAUAUGUACGUACAUGUAAGUGCUCUUUCAUGUCUCCUCUUCGUCUUCAUCAUCCUGUGGAGAAUUUGUUUUUCCUGCGUCUUGGUUUGAGAGAAAGAGAGAGGAGAGGAACUUUAAAAAUCUUGUCCCAGUUUGGAGUUUGUUUUAUAUGUAUAUACAAAACUCACACGCAUGUUCACUAAAUAGAAUUAUGGGUAUUUUAAUGUCUAUUUCAUGUUGAUAUUUUAUUAAAUCAUUGUAGGAAAACAAGAACUUUGACUUACGUGUUCGACCAUCAGUGUGAACUUCUAGAAAAAACUUGCGUUCUUGCAAAUUUCAGUUUUUCUUUAAUGAGGUGUCAAUCUUGGUAGAUAAAUGGUGCUACUAAAAUGACAUUAAAAAUCUGCUAUCUAUAACGGAUGUUAGAAAUCUAAAUAGACUAAAUAGAUACAUUAAUAGAUAUUGACUAAUCACUGCCAAAUGAAAACAAUUUUUAUUAUUAGAGGCAGAAAAAAAAAAUUGUUUUAGAAUACAUUAGGCAGGA
rnacentral:lncRNA from 1 species